AGAUCAAAUUGUUGGUCAUACCUUGGUACGCACUGGCAUUAUUAAUUUCUCCCUUCUGACGAACCAUGAUGUCAUUAAUUUGGUGUCUUGGGGAAUCAGGACUGUUACUUUGAAAAAAUUAGAGUGUUUAAAGCAGGCUCACGCUUGAAUACAUUAGCAUGGAAUAAUGAAAUAGGACGUUUGAUUCUAUUUUGUUGGUUUCUAGGAUCGACGUA
rnacentral:rRNA from 1 species